AUUGAACGCUGGCGGCAGGCCUAACACAUGCAAGUCGAACGAGUGGCGGACGGGUGAGUAAUGUCUGGGAAACUGCCUGAUGGAGGGGGCUAACUACUGGAAACGGUAGCUAAUACCGCAUACCAUCGGAUGUGCCCAGAUGGGAUUAGCUAGUAGGUGGGGUAAAGGCACACCUAGGCGACGAUCCCUAGCUGGUCUGAGAGGAUGACCAGCCACACUGGAGCUGAGACACGGUCCAGACGCCUACGGAAGGCAGCAGUGGGGAAUAGUGCACAAUGGGCGAAAGCCUGAUGCAGCAAUGCCGCGUGUAUGAAGAAGGCCUUCGGGUUGUAAAGUACUUUAAGCGGGGAGGCGUUACCCGCAGAAGGAGAACCGGAUAACUCCGUGCCAGCAGCCGCAGUAAUAC
rnacentral:rRNA from 1 species